GGUUGUAUGGUGUAGUGGUUAUCACUCCAGAUUUUGAAACAAAAUUUCUGGUAACCCCGGUUCGAUCCCGGGUACGACCU